rnacentral:rRNA from 1 species
UACGUAGGGUGCAAGCGUUUAAUCGGAAUUACUGGGCGUAAAGCGUGCGCAGGCGGCUUUGCAAGUCGGGUGUGAAAUCCCCAGGCUUAACCUGGGAACUGCAUUCGAGACUGCAUUGCUAGAGUAUGGGAGAGGGAAGUGGAAUUUCCGGUGUAGCGGUGAAAUGCGUAGAUAUCGGAAGGAACAUCAGUGGCGAAAGCGACUUCCUGGACCAAUACUGACGCUCAUGUGCGAAAGCGUGGGGAGCAAACAGG